rnacentral:tRNA from 1 species
AGCCCCGUGGCGCAAUCGGCAGCGCGUCGCAGUCCAAAUGCGAAGGUUGUCCGUUCGAAUCGGACCGGGGUUG